rnacentral:lncRNA from 1 species
CGGGACGGAGCCGGCUCGUAGUCCCUCAGCCGGGCCGUCCGCGCCGCCUGCCGCUCGGGUCUCGGCGCCGCGGCGCAGGGGGCGGAGGCUGAACGGCGGCCGCGCCCCACAGCCUGCCCGCCCCGCAGCCGGAGCCGGCGCGCCUUCUCUCCAGUCCCCGGGCCGGGCUCCCCGCCCACAGCGCCCCCCGGGGCCGGGGUGCGGGGGUCUCAGGCGCGCCCUCUCCCGCGUCUCCCAGCCACGUCUGCUGCCCGGGAUGCGGAGGAGGAGUGGGGGCGGCCUCCGCAGUCCUGCCGCUUCCUCAGCCGGGCCGUCCCUAAGGCGGCCCUCGGGCCCUCGGCUGCCGGGGAGCGCCCUUCCUGGGCCAGACAGGGAUAAAACCAGAGAGAAGACCCACGUUGCAGGGCUCUUGAAACAGUGCUCUCUCUGAUGUACCCCAAAGCUGUUUUGUUUCUCUCUGGCAUCUCCGAGCCCCCCUCCUCAUACGGGAUUGAACUCAGGACCUUGUGCUUGCCAGGCAGAUGCCGUGCCACUGAGCUACAUCCCCGGCCCUAAUUCAUUGUUUUUAAUCAAAUAGUUAUUGGUCACUCCCAAUCGUGUGUUAGAUACUGUGGAAAGUUCUUAAGAGAUGGGAGGUACAUGAAAAUCAUAAUAAAUGUGUAUGACUACAGGGGCACCUAAAAGAGCAAAGGAGAGAUUCGUGAAGAAAAACCACUCAAGAUCAGCUAUGUAAACCAGGUGUGGUGGCAUAUGCCUAUUAUCCCAGCACUUGGGAGGCUGAGGCAGGAGGAUGCAUCGAGCUUGAGCCAGUCUGGGCUACAUAGUGUGUUCAAGGCCAGCCUGGACCACAUAGGGAGAGCCUCUCAAAAAAAAAAAAAAAAAGGCUCUGAGAGGACAGGCAGUAUUUCUAAAUGCAGAGAUAAUGUAAAUAAUUCCAGCCACAGGAACUGAUAUUUGCAAAGGUCAGAGGUGGUGUGGAGCCUGGGUGUGUGAUCAUGUCUGACUGCCACUGAGCUGAAGAGGGGUCAGAAGGGACAGCCGGGCUCAGGCCCAUUAGGAGGACUUGAGUGCCCAACCCAAAGGCUUCUGUGUCCACCUGAGUCAUCCAGAUUCGGCAAAUAAAAAUACAAGAUGUCCCAAGAAGGCUUGAAUUUGAAUACAUAAGCAAUCAUUUGUAAGCUUUUCUCCAUGCAAUGUUUGGGACUUUCUCAUAUUAAAAAUGUUUUAUUUUGUUUUCUGAAACUCAGACUUCACCCAUGUUUUACCUGGC